UGGAUAUCUGGGUCUAUCUACUCUUGAGUG
rnacentral:piRNA from 1 species